rnacentral:tRNA from 1 species
CGGGAUGUGGCGCAGCUUGGUUAGCGCGCCUGCUUUGGGAGCAGGAGGCCGCGGGUUCGAAUCCCGCCAUCCCGA